ensembl:lncRNA
GCCCAAUGCAGAGUUUUAAAUUCAGAUGAUUCAGGCUGAGAACAUACUCAGCAUCUGAACUAUGGUUGAAAAAUACCCUUUUUACAUGCUUGAGUGAGUCCCGGACAGCUUAAAGGAUUUUCUUCAAUUUCCAAAAAAAAAAAAAUAAUUCACUUCUGGAAUGAUGAAAAAAUAUGAUAAAUUUCUACACAAAAGUCAUGCCUUGAGAAAGAAUAGCUUAUGUGGCUGGGAAAACCUGAGGUUUUGAAAAAAACGCAGCCCAGCCUGCCAGCAAGGCUUCCACAGACUCGUCACGUGUACAUCAUUGGUGUUUUCCAGAGAGUCAGGCUCAGGUGGGGCUAGGGCAGUCCCAAGGCUGAGCUUUCUUCUUCAGAUGCGUGUGUGUGCGUGAAACACUCACUCAGGACAAAGAAACUGUAAUUAGACUGGCCAUAACGUAUUUCAAAUUAUAUUUGACAUUAUCAAAUGUGAAAGGAGGACUUUUCUGGUUAGGAACGGUGGAAUGGGCUCUUGGCGCCGUUCGCAGGCAGUGCGCAGCCCCCAUGCUGCAGAGGCGUCUAGAAGCAGCCCUGGAAGUCCUCGGAAGGCGCGUCGCGGGCUGUGGCGGCCGCUCCUGCCUGGCCGCUGGGUGCCCACGCUCGGAGCUGGGAGCGCUUUUCUGGCUGUCGCGGUGGUUUCCUGCCGUCUGUCCCCAGCUCUGGGCCUGGCUCCUGAUGGGGCCUCACCAGGCUCCCAGACCUGCUCUCCAGCCUGGGUCCCCUCCAGGCCCCCUGACCCAGGAGGGACACCAAGAGAGGCCGUGCCCCGUUCAUGUGUUCCUGAGAAAAACCUCCAGACCGGGUCAAAGCUUCCCUCGUGGCCUGAGUACCCAGCGACUCUUCUCUCCCCCCAACGCCUCAUUUGGAAGGAAACAUAAACUUGACGGCUCCACAGAACCGUUGUCUCAUCCGCUCUGCUCAGAGCCAACGCCCCCUCCCUGCGAAAAACAAAAACACAGAAACAAAGGAAGAGCAGCCAACAUCGCCGUCUCCCAAAGCCCUUGGACAGCUGCCGGGGGAAGAGAUGCGCUUCUAGACACAUCCAGGAGGCUGUCUUGUUUUCCUGUUAAUAUCGCACGGUGGUGACUGCAGUAACAAAAGCACUGGAAGGCUCCCGUCUCACCACCCGCCUCUGCAGCCCCGUCGUGCACGGGAUGCUCCCCACCCCCGAUGUAGCGUGGCGGGCCCGCGGCAGGGUCUGUUCUGGCCUCGAGACGUCAGACCCUUGGAGCAGAGGCCGUGGGCUGGCCCCUCCACGCAGCCCCCGCGCCCCGCACCCACCCUCGCCCACCCCGACUCAUCCUUACCCCCCCAGCUCAUCUGAUCCAAUAAGGUGAGCCCCCCGCGGAUCCCCCAGACCCCCACCGCCCCAGGGGGCGCCUCCAACACAGGCUCAGGCACCAGCCGCGAGGCCCAGAUGCAUCAACGCCUGCGCAGCCGCCCCAGCCAUAUAUUGAUUUUUGUUACAGCCGCGAGGCCCAUCCAAUUAAAAAGCAUCACCCACCUGUUCCAAGCCUUCCUUCUUGCCAAGUGUUUGCGGCUGGCAGAAAACAGUGCUGUUGGUUCAACGUGGCCUCAUUUCCUCUGCUGGUCAGAGUUUGGAAGCCCCUCCUGAUGCUGAAAAGUCUUGAGAUGGAUUCUCCAAGUGUGCCUAUUGUGACGGCAGAUCCUGAAAUUGCCUGGGUUGUUUUCUGAAAAUGGCCGUUACCAAACCAUCACGCAGGCCCCGAAUAGAAUGAUGUCAGCCCCGGGCGGUUCCCUGGCGGCGCAGCAGCUGUCUCCUUUUGGAGCUGCGCAUCAAUUCUCCCCUCCGAGGGGGUGGCCCGUGAGAGACGCGGAAGGCCGCCGUCUCGCCGAGAAGGCUCGCUGCUUCUCCUUUCGGAGGAUUUCUUCAAACAUUAAUAAAUUCCCUCCCCUCUCCCUAUCUUUUGUUGGCAAACCAUAAAAAAUGCAAAUGAUCCAGAAACCCAUUAAUUUUUAGAAGGUUGCAGCUGUUCUUCUGUAUUCACAAGACACGCUGGGUACAUGUAGGG